rnacentral:rRNA from 1 species
GAUGAACGCUGGCGGCGUGCCUAAUACAUGCAAGUCGAGCGAACAGACGAGUAGCUUGCUUCUCUGAUGUUAGCGGCGGACGGGUGAGUAACACGUGGAUAACCUACCUAUAAGACUGGGAUAACUUCGGGAAACCGGAGCUAAUACCGGAUAAUAUAUUGAACCGCAUGGUUCAAUAGUGAAAGACGGUCUUGCUGUCACUUAUAGAUGGUUCCGCGCCGCAUUAGCUAGUUGGUAAGGUAACGGCUUACCAAGGCAACGAUGCAUAGCCGACCUGAGAGGGUGAUCGGCCACACUGGAACUGAGACACGGUCCAGACUCCUACGGGAGGCAGCAGUAGGGAAUCUUCCGCAAUGGGCGAAAGCCUGACGGAGCAACGCCGCGUGAGUGAUGAAGGUCUUCGGAUCGUAAAACUCUGUUAUUAGGGAAGAACAAAUGUGUAAGUAACUGUGCACGUCUUGACGGUACCUAAUCAGAAAGCCACGGCUAACUACGUG